UGAGCAUGUGCGGACACCACCUUGAGUGGUCAGGAGGGCAGUGAAGGUGCAAUGGAGGGGCAGGUACAGUUCAAGAAACAGAAGACGGAGAUGGACUCCAGUCCAGAGUCCUUGUAACCUCCCAGAUAUGCAGCAAAGGAAGAGCUCUGGUGCCUUGGUCAACUAUUUUCAUUUCGGUUCUAAGCUCCACUGACAUAGUCACUUCCUUGGACUGUUUGGAUGUAUGGAUAUUGGAUUAACAUAUACGAGAAACCCACUUCAAGCAAACCAGAAGGCAUACAUGAAAAGGAUGCUGCCCUAACACUGGUAAAGCCAUCUCUGGACUGCACAACCAAAGGAGAUUGUCGAAUAGAAACAGGGGCGAGAGGGGAUCCUAAAGCUUUGACAGAUGGUACUCAGCACUCAACUCCUGCUGGGCUCAGCAGGGCCCAUGAUUCAGAAAUGCCCUCACCCAGCUAAAAGGCACACAAUUGAAAAAUCAGGAGCAUUGCAAAGAAAAAGUUUCAGGAGAUCUUCCUUCUCACUCCUUCCAGCAAAUUCCGCCCAGUCACUAAUUAUGAAAGAGGGAGAAAGUUUGCCAGCAAAGAAAUUAAUGAAGAAGACUCAUCAUUGCCAAUUGACUUUACUACUAAGUUAAUGGGAAAAAUAUGUGCAAGGAGAAGAAGAUUGCCCAUACACUCAGAGGAACAUUACUGCAAAAAAGACAGUUAUGAAAUUGACAUGCAACUGGCUUAAUUUAAUUUUAAAAGAGAGAGAUUACU